UACGGGGGGGGCAAGCGUUGUUCGGAAUUACUGGGCGUAAAGGGCUCGUAGGCGGCCAACUAAGUCGGAUGUGAAAUCCCCAGGCUCAACUUGGGGACUGCAUUCGAUACUGGAUGGCUUGAAUUCGGGAGAGGGAUGCAGAAUUCCGGGUGUAGUGGUGAAAUGCGUAGAGAUCCGGAGGAACCCCAGAGGCGAAGGCGGCGCUCUGGCUCGCGACUGACGCUCAGACACGACAGCAUGGGGAGCGAACGGG
rnacentral:rRNA from 1 species